CAAUUUGAAGUCAGGAAGUUGGAACGGUCACCAUAGCUUGGAUUUAUUUAUAGAAAUGGUCAGCCUAGUGUGGUUUGCACAGUAGGAACUGGUUGAAAAGUUCAGCGAACUCCUGUAUAAACACCCAGGAGCUAUUAAAAUACGGCCGAUGACUAUUUGAUGUUCAAAGUAGAGCUUCAGGAUCAAUUCAAAAUCCAUCUGAAGGCGUCGUUUCCCCCCCACCCCCGCCCCCAGAGGCCCAGCAAGGCUGAUAUAGCCUUUUCUCUUGGCGAUGUGUUUUUGUUCCUUUAAGAGCAGAAGUAAUAAAAGUGUGUAAAUACAUUAAAAUGGAACCAGUAUUGUUCAGGAGAAGGGGGCCAUGGGAAAUGGAAGCCGGCUCUUUUGGAGGGGCCAGUCUUCGGGCUCCAUUGCGAUCCGGUCAAAGAGUGUCCAGACUUCGCCGAGGGAGGAAUUUGUUUGGUUUGGACGUCAUUCAGUCUGUCAAGAGAUCUACUUACUCUCUUUCUAAGUGGCUCUUCAAGCUCAAACCCAAAAUAGGGAGGGCCGUCUUUCAGAUAAUGCCCUGCUUGCUCAAACCCUUAUUGACUCGAGUCUGUUGCUUUGCACUGUGGUGCCUGUUGUUUGGACUGUAAUCGAAUCAGUCGUGAACAAUGCAUCUAAGCAAACAAGAGGAGGAGGGGCCAGCUCUAGCUGGGAGAGGCUUCCUGGUGAUGGACGUGUCCUUGUCUGCCUCUUCAAGGCAGCUGAGACCUCUGCAAAGGGCAGGAGAGAUGGAGGAGAGGAGGAGGAGUUUAGGGGGGUCCUGGGUGGGGAGCCCGAGGGAAAAAAUGUGUGUGCAGAUGUGAGUGUGGAUACCAGCCCUGCCUCGCUCCGUUUUGAGCAGUGGAAUUACAGGUGUUUUAUAGAUAGAAGCAUGGGUGAGGCUGCCUGCAGAUCUAUCUCAUCAGGUAAAAAAGAACAUAGUGUAGGUCCCUAAAACCAAUAACACAAAGCAUUUCAGGUAUAUUAUCUUAAAUCUUCAUAAUAACAUGAUGAAGAAGACAAGGCAGAAUUAGUGGGGGGGGGUCAAAAUUUGCAAACUUUAUAAAGGUUUUAAAAAUACGUGUUGCCAGUUAUUCUUCAGAAAGAUCACAUUUCAUAUUCUCAACAGCAAUAUAUAGGACAGUGCUUUUAUCUUUUGGUACCUAAACCUUAGCCAAUCUAGUAGUUAAUAGGUUAAUAGAUUGAAUGAUUAAAUAGGUUAAAGUGAUAUCAUUCGUAUCCACAUCCACAUUUUGAUUUCUCUGAUAACUGGAAAAUGUCCUGUGUAAGCCCUUAUAUUGGCAUGAAUGAGCUCUUUGUAUAAGAGAUAUGAACUCCUUAUCAUGUGCAACAAAUACUUUUGCAAGUCUGACAUUUACAUUUUGCUCUCUUCAUUUGUUCUCAUCAGCCGUUUCUCUCCUCACGACUAUCAGUUCUUGUUUCAGAGAAAACAGAGCUUCUUGUUCUUUGAAAUCUAAAAUAUUCCCUGUUCCCAGGCACACGGUUCUUUAAAACGUCCAGGUGUCAUGUCCUUUUCCUUCUCUGGGGCUUCUUUCUCUUUUCCUCAUUUUUGUACCCACUGUCAUCUGGAUUCUUUUGACUGGCCAAAUUGAGCACCUUGCACUUUGGCCCCAUGACCCUCCUCACCUCCACUUUCUGAUGAUUGAUUCUGCUUUUCGAAGCCACAGGGGAAGGCAGGUUUCUGUUCACAGUUCUAAGCCCAGUUCUUGGUUUCCAACAGGAUCUGUUAUGUCUCUGCACUAGACCUUCCAGGAGAUACAUGCCUUUAGAAGGGUACGUGUAUUUUUCAUUUCUUAUUAAUUGGUCCUCUUGUCCUCUGGUUGCCUAUAGGCAUGCAAACCUACAGUCAUUGGCCUUUUUGUCUCUUCCCCCACCCCUGACUUGCAGCUCUUUUCUUCCCAGGGGGCACUGGGAAAUCCUAUUUUGCUGCCCCUAUUUUCUUGCCAAAUGCCAUGUGGGCUUCUCAAUCUCAGUCUCUAGCUAUAGAAAUGAGUCAGGGCUAGAGAGCAGGGAAGAAGACAUAAGAGAAGCAGAAACAGUCAUAUCUUGACAGCCCCAGGGAGCAGCCCUGGAAGGACGGAGGAGGCCACCUGCCCCAUGUUCUCAUCAAUAUUCACCCACCACCUGCCCCACGUUCUCAUCAAUAUUCACCCACCACCUGCCCGUGACUCAAGUCACCUCCUACCACUUUCCAUGGCCUCUUGUUUUCAGGAUACAAAGUUCAACCAUGAGCUGAAGGUCGAGUGGUAUUUUUCUUAAUCCAACCCUUUCCAUCCUAUCAUAACACCAGUGCUUCUACACUCCAGGUAUCCUCAGUGGAGAAUUUAACGCUCUUCAUGGGUACUUCUGAGAAAAAGCAGGGAAAAACUGGUGUGUUAAAGGACACAUCCAUUGGUAUUCUUGGUAUUCAGGAAAUGAAUGAAACGAUGUGAGCAGACUGCAUGGAAACGAGCCACACGUCGAUGGGCAGGAAAGGGUGACAGGCAGGAGAGCAGACAAGAGUAAAUCUGUUAGGACCAAGGCCAGAGGGCUCUGCUUGAGCCAGGCAGUGGUCCCUUAAGGGAAGGCAGGGCCUGUGGCCAUAGGCCUCAGGGAGGGUUGACUUGACAUGGGUGAGGAAGAUGGUUUCAAUCAAAUUAUGUGGAACUAGAGCUGGGAUCUCACCUGAAGUGUGUCAUCUGACCUGCCAGCACUGAAGGAGCCACUGUCCAGGAUGUGACGGCAGCGAUUAUGGAUCGAAAGGCCCCCUGGGAUGCAAAGCUCGCACAUGGAACAUCCUUGAAACAGACCCAUGGCCUCCGUUCCACGUCUGGACCCUUCUAAAGUUAGGCUUGUUCUGGAAAGCAACCCCAUCCUCUCUUCCGAGGCUGUUUCCUGAAGAGCUCAGUGAGUGUUCACUGGGACUUGUUUGCUGAUUAUCUGCUUGCAAAAAACAGCACAAGCCCCUGAAGUCUCCAGGGAGCACACCGACUGCGAACGCUGGGCUGGACCUGGGGUUGGGGCGGGGUCGAGUUGAUCUUUCAGAGGUGAUGGUGCGGGGCAGGCUCUAUUACCUGCCUUUCGUUUAGAGAAACUAUUCUUUAAAUGGAAACAGAUUGAGGGGGCAAAUGGCAAGGCUGCAGCUUUGGGGCGUUUCUUCCCAUUUGCAGAGGCUAAAAGGCAGGCCUGGAAAUCCUUUUUCAAGAGCUGCCAAUGACACAGCGUCAUGUUAAUGCAUUACGAGUCCUUAAGGGCUCAUGCUUGAUUUCACUUUUUCAUCUGAAUUUCUGAUGUCGAGGGACCCGGAGCAACUUUUCACUUGGCCAGCGUCUGACAGCCAGGCCACUGGAUUCUGCAGUAUGCCAGCAGAGGAAUGCGUCCUUUUCAUCUUUGGUCUCUAAAUCUACUUUUUAUUUGCCUGCAUAAAGGGGAGAGAGUCCCUUUAAUGUUGUGUGGAUAAAAGCCACAAGAAAGAGAUAAAGGAUGGAGCAUGUACCAGGCCCUUAGGGUAGACAGAGGGAGGAGUUUGGGAUGGCUCUUCUCACUGAAGAAAGGCGCUUGGCUAGUUGAAACAAUUGCAGGCAAGACAGGGAGGGUUUAAUUUGCAUUCACAGAGGACUGUCCCAUUGUGUGGGAAGAGAUUUGGGGGAGGACAUGGGAGGACGGCUGGGUACCGCAACCCACAGGCAAACAGAUGAUGCCGACAUGGAUGCACAAACCAAGAGCUUAACCGCGGUUGGAAAGCCACUCACUGUUGGCUCCAGGUGUGCACCAGGCAGGGCGUUUGCUUGUCUUCCUGCUUUUCUCCAAAUUCUUUAUCCAAGGCCAAGCACACAUUGCCAUUGGGCUGACGCCCUGUCAGCCCUGCCUGCAUCCUUCUACCACCUGGGUGUUAAUUUUAAGGGGCCUGACUGUGGCUAUUACCACUGUGCCCCCCUUUGUCUGGCUGUACCCUCUCUGGUCCCACUUAGUCCUUUUACGACCGGCAGAAGGCAUAUGGCAUCCCUCUUCUUGUUCAAUUGAGGACCAUGUUAUUUUUCAUAUGACAGCAGCCAUAAGCGUGAAGAGAAUUUUAUGAAGGUGGUCAAAGCGGAAGGAGAAUUUUACGAAGGUGGACAAAGUCCUGCUUUUACCUCCUUUAAUGCCAAAGCUGAGUGGAGGGAACUGAGAUCAUUUUCUAUGCGGAGAAAUCGGUAACGCCUUCACAUGUUUUCCCAACACCUACCUCGGUCCCGAGCUUGCAAACUCAACCCAUCGCUCAGAUGGGCAGAGACACAUGGAACAGCAACGCCAGGCAGCCUGGAGGGACAUUCCUCGGACUGACCUCCAGGAGACCCUUCUAACAUCCCAUUAAUGAGCUGUAAGCCUGAGGUUAAAUGAAAACCAAGCCCCAAUAACUUAUACCUCGCAUUCACCUUAGGGAGAUGUUUGGGUAUGAGUUUUAAAAUACUAUUGGACAUGCUCCAUUGAGUCUUCAGGUUUGGGCAAUGUUGUUUUUUUUUUUUUUUCCAAAACAGCCUGAAAACCAUCCUUGCAGAAUCAAGGCUGCUCUGUGAAAUCACCUUGCCUUUCCCCCAAGCCUUAGUCACAUGCGCAAGUAAAUGAGACACAUCAAAGGACUUAGACCACAAACCAGGGCCGGGGGAGGGGGGGGGGAGGGGGAGGUGCGGUGCCGGGGGGUUGGUGCCUAGAGAGGCCGCCUUCUUCCCACAUUUCCAUUAUUUCCAGAUUUGGGGUUCGGUGGUCAGACCUUGAACUCUGGGCAAUGGGCUGCUUCCCGUCGGUCCGCUUUUUUGAAGCGGGGGCGAGAUUUGUUGCUGGAUGAUUCUUCAUGAGCAUCGCACGCGGACAAAGCCAUCGCAUUCAGACGUGGGCCGAGGAGAUGGAAAAUGGGGUGGUGGGGGCAGAUUUCAGGAGGUCUAAUAAAUCUUCCGUAAAUUACAGCCCAUCCCCCGCGCCGCAGGGCUCUUUGUCUUGCUAAUACACAUUACGGCCUGGCUCGCUUCACACUUUCAGGCCUCUCGGAGGUGAGGCCGCCACAAAGCUGCAGAUGUGGAAAUGGAGGGGGCCUUUGCCCUGAGUGUCACCCAUUAACAUCAGCCCACAGAAGAUUUUACUACGGUUUCGCCAUCACAAAAGCGCUCUCAACUCGCAACUUGGGAGCUUAAAGCCACAAGAAGAGAGAUGGGGAAAAAAGAAACAACUAGAGGACAUCACUGCAUCCCUGCGUAAAGUUCAUUGGCGUAAAAAUCCCAAGCGAUACAGCUCUAGAAUUUAAAAAUGAUGGUACAGAUGAUGCUAAGGGGACGUUGGGUACCUUAUUUCUCUACGUUUUGGUAACUCAAGGUCUGCAGACAGGCUCCAGGAAAAUUUCUAAGCACAUG
rnacentral:lncRNA from 1 species